GUGCUCACUUUGGCAGCACAUACACUAAAAUUGGAAGGCUACAGAGAGGAUUAGCAUGGUCCCUGCACAAGAAUGACAUGCAAAUCCAUGAAGCAUUUCAAAAAGAA